UACAGCCAUAUCGGUUUGAAACGCCGGUUCUCGUUCCGAUCAACGAAGUUAAGCAUCGUUGAGACUGGUCAGUACAUAGAUGGGUGACCUUUUGGGAAUACCAAGUGCUGUAA